UCAUCGUCGUUUAUUUCCUCAACUCUUAUUUCGGGUAGAUUAUAUUGGUUAUUUUCUUCUUUUUCUUCUAAUUCAUCUUCUAGUUGCAAUUUUUCUUCAAAUUUAAUUAUCUCAUUUGUUAAUUUUGUUUUUUGUUCUUUUUCUUUUUGUUUCAUUUCAUACAUCUCUUUUAGCAUUGCCAACUCUUUUUCUAAUUAUAUUAUUUUAGUAUUUUUUACUUCUUCUAAUUGUUGUACUUCCUUUUUUGCUUGUUGUUUAUUUUUCUAUUUCCGUUUUUCUAUCUAUUUCUUCUAUUUUCUUUUGUUAUUCUUGUCAUAGCAGUUAAACUAUCUUCUUAGUUUUACUGUUUCUUUUUCUAACAUUAAACUUAUAUUGUCAC
rnacentral:lncRNA from 1 species